GAGUUUGAUCCUGGCUCAGGAUGAACGCUAGCGGUAGGCCUAACACAUGCAAGUCGAACGGUAACAUGAGAGCUUGCUCUUGAUGACGAGUGGCGGACGGGUGCGUAACACGUAUGCAACAUACCCUUUACAGGGGGAUAGCCCAGAGAAAUCUGGACUAAUACCCCAUAAUAUCACGGAUUCGCAUGUUUCUGUGAUUAAAACUUCGGUGGUAAAGGAUUGGCAUGCGGCCCAUUAGUUUGUUGGUGAGGUAAUGGCUCACCAAGACUACGAUGGGUAGGGGUUCUGAGAGGAUGAUCCCCCACACUGGUACUGAGACACGGACCAGACUCCUACGGGAGGCAGCAGUGAGGAAUAUUGGUCAAUGGACGAAAGUCUGAACCAGCCAUACCGCGUGCAGGAAGACAGCCCUAUGGGUCGUAAACUGCUUUUGUUUGCCAAGAAACCUCCCCACGUGUGGGGAGCUGACGGUAGCAUUCGAAUAAGGACCGGCUAACUCCGUGCCAGCAGCCGCGGUAAUACGGAGGGUCCAAGCGUUAUCCGGAUUUAUUGGGUUUAAAGGGUCCGUAGGCGGAAAGAUAAGUCAGUGGUGAAAGCCUGUGGCUCAACCAUAGAAUUGCCAUUGAUACUGUCUUUCUUGAGUACACAUGAUGUGGGCGGAAUGUGUCGUGUAGCGGUGAAAUGCUUAGAUAUGACACAGAACACCGAUUGCGAAGGCAGCUCACAAAAGUGUAACUGACGCUGANGGACGAAAGCGUGGGGAGCGAAC
rnacentral:rRNA from 1 species